UGGGGAAUAUUGGACAAUGGGCGAAAGCCUGACACAGCAACGCCGCGUGAAGGAUGAAGUCCCUCGGGAUGUAAACUUCGUAAGAAUAGGAAGAAUAAAUGACGGUACUAUUUGUAAGGUCCGGCUAACUACGUGCCAGCAGCCGCGGUAAUACGUAGGGACCAAGCGUUGUUCGGAUUUACUGGGCGUAAAGGGUGCGUAGGCGGCAUAUCAAGUCACUUGUGAAAUCUCCGGGCUUAACUCGGAACUGCCAAGUGAUACUGAUGUGCUAGAGUGCAGAAAGGGCAACUGGAAUUCUUGGUGUAGCGGUGAAAUGCGUAGAUAUCAAGAGGAACACCUGAGGCGAAGGCGAGUUGCUAGGCUGACACUGACGCUGAGGUACGAAAGCUAGGGGAGCGAACGGGAUUAGAUACCCCUGUAGUCCCUGAGCGGGCUGGCAAGGCGCAU
rnacentral:rRNA from 1 species